UCAUUUUCUCUCUCUAGCGGCUUCUCGGUCUACAGGCUGCCAGCCGUCGGUCGACGGCGAUACUCAGGCUUCGUCUACAAGUGUUGGCUGAUAUUAUCCCACAUGCGACCGUCCUCACUGGGCUCUCCAUCCACGACGAGUGAAGCAGCAUCCAUCAAAGAUUGAGGAACAUCCUUGGUACAUUGCACACGUGCACAGGGAAAAAUGUCAACUCCUGUCCCAACCAAAAGUACUAAGCCUAAGAGGAAGAAUGCUCGUGGGAAUCGGACUAACCCUGGCUGGGAACAUGGAGAAGAAGUUGAGGUUGAGAACAAGACAACAAGAUGCAAAUAUUGCCUUCUUGUUAAAGGAGGAGGUGUCUACAAACUGAAGCAUCACUUGGCUGGGACAAGGUUUAAUGUCGAGCCUUGCGAAAAAGUUUCCGAUAAUACAUGUACUAAUGCUAACUUCUCAAACCUGUGUAGGUUCAUACAAAGAGAAGAAAUCGUUUGCACCAAGAUAAGAUGAAUGAUUUAGUUUUUGUCAUGUACAAUUCGAAACUGAUGAGCAGACAACGCAGAAGGCAAAGACAAGCUGGGGAAUACUACAUUGAUGAUGUUUCUUCUCAUGAUGAAUUUAUAACUGAAAAAGAAAAACCAGUCCUUCCUCCACAAAAGGAAUGGAUCCGUUCUCUUGAUAGGAUUGCUCAUAACGAUGCUGCUGUGGACAAAGAAAAUGAAAGUGACAUUGAAAAUGGUGUAGAAUAUAUUUUUAAUAACCUGGCUGAAGCAUGUGAUGGUGAUGUUGGAGUGGAUCAAGAUCUUGAUGCAUAUACUUACGAAGAUCCUGAUGGUGAAAACAACAAUGCCAACGAGGAAAAUGUUCUUGGCGGCAACAAUUUAGGACCUUCCUGUGGGAGUUCUAGUGCUGCAGUAGCACCCAUGAACGAUGAUAUCAAUUUAGACGACCUAUACUAAACAAGUUAUCUUCUAUUUCUAGUAGGUUAAACCUUUGUGUUUCCCAAGAAAUUAGAUUAUAUGCCCUUUGUUUGCUUUUGGACAUGUCAGUAAGCCACUUUUCAUUUGAGGAUUAUUAUAUGUUGCUAUUUUA